rnacentral:sRNA from 1 species
UGAUGCCAGGGUUAAAAGGUCAAAAUGCCGUUCUUGCUUGCAAGAUAAGACAUUCGAACUUGGAACCCGCUAAACAUGAGGAAGUAGCUAUUUACGCAGUAAAUAUGCGGAUUCCGAAUGUUUAUAGAAUUGCGGGAGUUAUUUUAUAACGGAGCAAUUCGCAGGCAUCA